rnacentral:rRNA from 1 species
UACGAAGGGGGCUAGCGUUGCUCGGAAUUACUGGGCGUAAAGCGCACGUAGGCGGAUUGUUAAGUCGGGGGUGAAAUCCUGGAGCUCAACUCCAGAACUGCCUUCGAUACUGGCGAUCUCGAGUUCGGGAGAGGUGAGUGGAACUGCGAGUGUAGAGGUGAAAUUCGUAGAUAUCGGGAGGAACACCAGUGGCGAAGGCGACUACCUGGCCUGUUCUUGACGCUGAGGCGCGAAAGCUAGGGGAGCAAACGGG